UGAUUGACAGAGGCCCGCAGAAAUGCUUAAGGGCCGCCACUGACAUUUCCCCGACGCAAGAGCUUGGAAGGGCCACCCGCUGGACGCUGGCCCCACGGCCCGGCCGGGCAUGGGCAGACGCGGCACGUGAAUAUUUGUCCCCAGGUACCUUCAAGGUCUCCUGGAAGGUGGGCUCCACCGUGUUCUUCUGGACUCCGGUCUUGCGUUUCCCCUGGGACGACCUGUCAGGCAGCAGGCAAGAUUCUUACAGGCCUGGAUGCAGAUUUCUAAAGAAUGAGCUCUGAAGCAAUAGCGAAUGGCAAAUUCUAUCUCUCCAGUGACAUGCGUGUUGUCGAAAUUGCCCAUCUCUGUACAAGUGCUGUUGAUGCUAAUUAAACUGCCCUGAAAUACAAAA